ACACACAAGUCUUUUCUAACAAGGAGAUAAGAAAAAGAAAAAAAAGAAAAAACAAAAGAAAAAAAAACAUACAGUGUUAAAAUUAAAGACAGAACGUGCAGCACCCAUAGCGGAGGAGCUGAAAUCUCUCAAAAUCAUCACAUCAAUAAGUAAAAUGUCAAAAAGAAAAAAAAUUCUCCUGCUGCAGCCAGAAUACGGAAAGUCUUCUGUACAGGUGUUAUUUAGGAAAACCCACAGAUACACACACAAAAAAAAUAAAGAGAGAAGAUUUAAAGAACGGAGUUUCGAUGGCCCAGUUCAGCAGCGGCAGCAAGGUCAACGUUUCACACACCAACUCAGAGAAGAAGGCGAGCAACAAUCUGCCUGGCCACAUUGCCUGCCCACACACACCUCCUCCACAGGUGUGUGUGGAUUUUUAGGGGUGAGUCAUUCUCUCCCACGUAGCACAUACCUCCAGCAGUGGUUGCGGAGAUCCCACCAGCGCCGCACCGCUCCUCCCAGUCCCAAAAAUCGACUGGGAUUCUCGAUCGCUCCCCGAAGCGGGGCCUAGCGCUCAGAUUUUCAAACGAGAGCGCAACAUCUGAAGGCAACAGAUGGCGGUUCGACGAACAACAUCAUGAUCAGACAGUGACACAGCAUUAGGGCACAGCGUUAAUUGUGCAGCCUUUGUUUUCUACACUUAAUACCAAAAAUGCAGCAGUGUUUUCAGUGUUUUCAUACAUUUAGAUCUCCUGUUAGCGAAAUAAAAAAAAAUGUGAUGUACAGCUUUGAUCCAAGGCAUAAUUAAAGUGAUCAUCAAUCACAAUGCGAAUGUGUAAUAAAAAGAGAAGCCCUGGAAUUGGAAAGCUGCAGGUUUCAUUCUUGCUUCCUUCUCUGUCAUACAUUGAUGGGCACCUGGGCAAGGCACUUAACUGCAAGUUACCAGCGGAUCAUCUUUAUUAAAGACACCAAUAGAUCCACAUGAGACAUGUGAGUAUAAAUUCAUGUGAACAAACAUAAUCACAAGUGUACAUAUGUGAGUGUGACUGGUUAAAUUUGACUCCAGCACAGUACCAUAUUUUUUCAGACAGUAAGUAUUUAGAAACUGUCAAAUGAUAUAUUAUUUAAUUGCUUUUCAGCAAACUCACGAAAACUCUUGACUUUGGCUUGGAAGUCUGCUGGAGGCUGAUCUGCACUCUAAAUCAGGGUGGUCUGGAAUGUCUGUGCUCCAUCAGCAAAGAGCGCAGUGGAGCGGAGACGCAUGCAGUGUAAAUAAAGGAUGAUAGAGAGGCGGUAACACCAAGAGGUCUCCCUCUAAAGUCAUUUAUAGUCAUCUCCUUAGUCACUUCUAGAGCAUGGAGAUGUGACUGUUCCAGCAGUUUCAGAAGGUGGCACCGACAGAUAGGUAUCGUUAUCUAGAUGCGGUAUGGUAAGAAAAUCUUACGAGGUAGCACAGAUCACAGAUCGUCUGUGGAUUUGUUCCUUCAGUUCUGACCGUCUAGCCUGUGAUUUUAGCUUUCUUCAUGGCUGCAAAUGGUAAUGUUUAAUUCUUGGUUCAUAUCCACCAGUUUGAAUAAAUAUUUAACGUGUCAGUGAAAACAAUGCGUCACAUAGAGCAAAAAAAAAAAAAAUACAUAGAAGUCACAACUGACUAUAACUUGUGAGACCAAUCGAAUAAUGAAAAAAAGUGUGAUUUCCAGUCAGGUAUUAACUGUAAAUAAUGUUGACAAUUCUGAUACUUAUUAAUGACACUUGGGAAAUGUAACUUAGCAUAAAGCAACAAAGUCAAACUCUGAAUAAAAAAAAUCACAAAGUAUCAGGUGCAGAGCUGUUUCUGCAGCCCAAACAUUGUGCCAUUUGGUGGAUUUUUUCAGGAGAGGUGCUUCAUAACACCUUUGAUGCAAAUAUUCUUUGCCCAGAUGACCUGAGUGCAAACUCCAUCCAUCACCCUUGCAGUAUUAGCACAGAGCUCCAUCGCUUGAGCUUCAGAGAGCCUAUUCAGCUAAGCAAACAAACCUUUCUGAGCGCCCAGCAGGGCUGGCAAUGGUCUUCGUGCUGGCUGCAGCUUAGGAGGGAGCUCAAAAAGAAAGAACUGGAUGGCAGCCAAGCAAUGGUAAAUGUUGGCUUCAGUUGGCUCGGUUUUCUGGACGGAUAAACCCAAAGACUACUGAUUAUGAUUCAUUCUGCUGGUCAGCUGGAACAUUCGGAUGCAGAAAUUGUUGAUUAGGGGCUCAGGAACUUAUGUUUAAUCUCAGAAGACCUUUCAGUGCUCACUGAUAUUUUUAGUGGCUCUGCAGUUACAACAUGUCAUGUGUUUUGGUGUUUGGUCUGGAUCCACUUCCGCCAACCCUUGGUGUUUCACUGCGUGUUGAAAACAAGUGACUUUAGUGGCUUUGAAUCUGACAAGUUAAUUGAUGGGCUGCCCCUUCGUUUCACCAUCUUGGGGUUUUCAGUCAUGUUAGCAGCACGCCUGUGGGGAUGGCAAUCUUGCUCUUUCAGUUGGAACACCAAAGACCGAAUGCAAGCAAAAUAUUCCCAUCGGUCCCAGCUGUACUUUGUGGUGGCGCUAGUUUACAAAUGCAAAAAUUAGACGGUAAUCAUCAUAGUAGUUUAAGCACUUAGAUUUUUAGAUCUGGUUUUGUGGCUAAUCUAAUCAAUAUCUAUUAGGAAACAAUUACCGGUACUAGUUCCAAAUAGUGAUCAGAAAAUAAUGUUAUAAACAUCUCAGAAUCACAGAGACUUAUUUUCUGCCCUCUCGAUGUAUUCACAUUUGUUCUGUAUCAAAAACCAUACUGUUACUACUCAGACAAGCCUUGUAACUCUAACCCUUUUCAAUUGAGGAAGCACUUUUUACCCUAAUACUAUGCAGCAAAUAAAUCUCCCUUCUUCUUAGAGGAGAUCUGUAAGAUUCGGGGGUCUGUAGCUUUGUUGUAUCGUCAUGUUGAGGGUGUAACACAGAAAUGAGUCUGGGAUGCAAAUUCAGAAGACUUUCGCAAGUGAAGUUGGCAAAAAAAUGUUCUUAUGUUAUGCAGCUGGUAUGUUCUCUUCUUUUACCUGUUUUAUAGAGUGGCUAAGAAAGUCGAGGAUCACUUUUAGACAUUCUGAUCACCUUAAAGUAGUAUCUUAUAGAAUAAAUUGAAAAAAAGAAAUUCUUAGGGUGCCAAUACAUGCAGAACUUGUAAUUUAUUAAAGAUAAUUCAAUUCUUAUUGUGCGGUCUUUGCCUUACUGAAAUGUACUAGCAUGAGCAAUUGUCGUACUCCAGCUCCAAGGUUUAUUACACAUCUUUACCGGUUAUGCCAAUAAUAUGCUGUAAACCUUUGUGAAAAACACUGCAUGUCUAAACAACUUUGAGAAAUUUACAUUUAAAAGAAAAAGUCUGUCAUAUAUUCAGAUGCAAACCUGUCUCGAUGGAUAAACAAUUUAAAUUAUGAACAUGGAAAGGAAAAUAUUCACUUUGACAGUCUGAAUUUAGAAUGUUUUCUUCACUAUAAUCAUCAUCCUGAAGUUUUUACUGUGUAAAACUGAUCAUUUCAUGAGUAUGACACACUGCACAAAUCUAAGACCCACAAGGACCUCCAUGCCGGCUCCAGAUGUGGCGACUGAACUUUUAUCUCAAGCAAUAGAGCCUCAACAAGGUUUGUUGAAAAGUCUCCCAAAAUGUGUACCGUCCCAAAUUACACAACCAUGUUGUGCAGCAGCCAGCCUGUCUAGAAGCACGGACAACAAAGUUAAGUUGAGUGCCGCGGGGGCACUACAGGCUGCGGACGCUGCCAUGUUUAAACCUGCUGAACAGAACGUGCUGUUCCUGCAGAAGGGAGAAACCGCUCAUAUACUUCUGACUGAAAAUCCAUCUCAGAUUCUCCUCUUUCCUAAAGCCAUCCUGAGUCUGACUUCACUUCCAGUUUGAAGUUUGAUGUGACAUUGAGGAGAUUCUAAAAUCUCCAAAAGUGGUUAAACAAAUCAGUCAAUGCAAGACGUGGAGGACAGUAACCUUACUGUACACAGGUGGUGUGUCGUUGCCACCCCAUCCAGGAUGCCCUGGGUGGGGAGCCACAUCAUCCAUGUCAAAAACUGCCACUCCUUUCAGUCAGUUAAACAUCCCACCUCAUUCUGUUAGCCAACAUCAUUCACCUGCUGUACUCUGCAACAUGUUAAACAGUAAAGUCACCCAACCAGUAUGAUUUGGUCUGUUUUUUAAAACAGAGUUAUAGUUGAACUGGCUUUACAAAAACAAGAACUGUUUCUCUUCAGAAUGGUCCAGUGGUUUCAUACCACCUGUUUGUUGUUGUUGAGUCGAGAUGUGUCAGUUUGUGGCAUCCAUGAUCCCAGAUGUGGCCAUGUUGAGACUUGCAAACAUGACCGUCACUAUUUAAAGUAACAACCCACUGACCUCACUUUUUGAAAAUUGAACGGUAGACUUGGGUAUCCUUGCUCUGUGCAAAUACUAUGUGUAUCUCGAUACACUGCCAACAAUAAAAUAAAAUAAAGACAUGUGAGCUGCAAAUCUUAAUUCAAUAGGUAUUGGUCUAUGAAUAUCACAUUGUGUGGUAUUCAUCUGAAUACCACACAAUGUGAUGCAAUGAGAUUCGUUACUGAGAUGAAGACUGAAAAUGACAACUUGCAACUGAAUGAAAAUAACUUUAAAAUAGAUUUGUAUGUAUAUUUACUUUCAAUGUAGGUGUUGAGUUAUAACUAUUAGUCAGUCUCCAAGAACAACUCAAGUAUCUACAGUGCAACAGAUGUGAAUGUCAGUUGUUAAUGAGCA